GUAUAAUGGCGGGGUUUUGGUGCCCGCAAUCGAAUUCUCGAAUGCAGUUAAACGGGAAACACGGCGCUGUCCCUGACAGCCAACGUGUGCUGCCCCCGCAACGGUAAGCAAGUGCCGCCUUCAAUGUGCGGCAGCGACCUCCCGGCCACUGUGCGAAAGCAUGGGAAGGCCAGGCCGCCAGACUUGCCAGCCCGGAUACCGGCCAGACCAGGUGGGAACGC
rnacentral:ncRNA from 2 species